AUGGGCUCCCUCCCCCUCGCCGUCCUCGCGGCGCUUUUCUGCUUCCUGGCCGUCGGCGGCGCCGUCGAGCUCAACACCACCGACCCCGCCCCCUUCGACGUCGACCUGAACGCCACCGACGCCACCAAGUACUGGGGCCCCUGGACCCCGGCCAGGGCGACGUGGUACGGCCAGCCCAACGGCGCCGGCCCCGACGACAACGGUGAGGAUGAUGCUCCACACCCCCUCCCUCCCUCACAGGAUGAAUGCUUCUCCUCUCUUCUUGCGCGAGCAAUGUGGCUCAUUCCUCGGCGCUUCUUUGUCUUGCUAGGUGGUGCCUGCGGCUUCAAGCACACCAACCAGUACCCGUUCGCGUCCAUGACCUCCUGCGGCAACCAGCCAUUGUUCAAGGACGGCAAGGGGUGCGGCUCAUGCUACAAGAUCAGAUGCAGAAAGGACAUGUCCUGCUCCGGCAGGACGGAGACGGUGAUCAUCACCGACAUGAACUACUACCCGGUGGCGCCCUUCCACUUCGACCUCAGCGGUACGGCGUUCGGCCGGCUCGCUAAGCCCGGCCUCAACGACAGGCUCCGCCACUCCGGCAUCAUCGACAUCGAGUUCACACGGGUGCCGUGCGAGUUCCCGGGGCUCAAGAUCGGGUUCCACGUGGAGGAGUACUCUAACCCCGUCUACUUCGCGGUGCUGGUGGAGUACGAGGACGGCGACGGCGACGUGGUGCAGGUGGACCUCAUGGAGUCGCGGGGGCCGGGCGGCGGCAAGUGGACGAGGAUGAGGGAGUCGUGGGGCUCCAUCUGGCGCCUCGACUCCAACCACCGCCUCCAGGCGCCCUUCUCCAUCCGCAUCCGCAACGAGUCCGGCAAGACGCUCGUCGCCAACAAGGUCAUCCCGGCCAACUGGAGGCCCAACACCUUCUACCGCUCCUUCGUGCAGUACAGCUGA
rnacentral:rRNA from 1 species